CUCAGGGAGGUGUCAGAGCCAGACUAGCAGACUGCUCCUCCCAGAACAUGUCUGAGUCUGUCUCCUCCCAGAGAAGGGAUAUAAAAGGGCAGCUGCAGUAGGCAGCUGACUUUUAGCAGGCAACUUUGUGCAAAUCAGACCUCCUUGGGUUAAAAAAGGCAAAGUUGCUACCAGCAGAAGAUGGGUUUCCCUUGCCUGAGAAGCUCCCUACUGCAGCCCUCCCAGCUUGAGGAUAUGCCAUGCAUUAACCAGCAUGUUGGGUUUAACCCUGGCUCCCAGAGGCAUAAUUAAUUAAUUAAUUACAAAGGAACAUCAGCUUUCCUAAGGAAUGCACACAUUGAGCGUUUGUACAGCAUCCAGCGCAGUGAAGCCCCAAUGUGGAAUGCAGUUCCUUCUGGCUACCCAGGAGUUCAUCUACCAUCCAGCUGCUGUGUGGGCUGUGACUGAGCAUGCGAUUAGGAGAAGGGAGAUUAGUGGUUCUUCAACACCCUCUUAAUGUAAAAAUGGUGUAUUUGGAUACACGAUAUAGGUAUCUUCAGAUAUGCUGACCUAAAUGUG
rnacentral:lncRNA from 1 species